rnacentral:sRNA from 1 species
GUAAUGCGUGAGCGGUUGAAGCGGCAUCCUUUUGCUUUUUUUAGCAAAAGAUAUAGCGGAAGACGCGACGGCAA